rnacentral:rRNA from 1 species
UACGUAGGGGCCGAGCGUUGUCCGGAGUUAUUGGGGCGUAAAGCGCGCGCAGGCGGCCUCGCGCGCCCGACGUGAAAGCCCCCGGCUUAACCGGGGAGGGUCGUUGGGGACGGCGGGGCUUGAGGGCGGGAGAGGGUGGUGGAAUUCCCGGUGUAGUGGUGAAAUGCGUAGAGAUCGGGAGGAACACCCGUGGCGAAGGCGGCCACCUGGGCCGACCCUGACGCUGAGGCGCGAAGGCGUGGGGGAGCGAACGGG